rnacentral:rRNA from 1 species
GAUGAACGCUGGCGGCGUGCCUAAUACAUGCAAGUCGAGCGAACGGACGAGAAGCUUGCUUCUCUGAUGUUAGCGGCGGACGGGUGAGUAACACGUGGAUAACCUACCUAUAAGACUGGGAUAACUUCGGGAAACCGGAGCUAAUACCGGAUAAUAUUUUGAACCGCAUGGUUCAAAAGUGAAAGACGGUCUUGCUGUCACUUAUAGAUGGAUCCGCGCUGCAUUAGCUAGUUGGUAAGGUAACGGCUUACCAAGGCAACGAUGCAUAGCCGACCUGAGAGGUUGAUCGGCCACACAAGAACUGAGACACGGACCAGACUGCAGCGGGAGGCAGCAGUAGGGAAUAUUCCGCAAGGGGCGAAGGCCUGACGGAGCAACGCCGCGUGAGUGAUGAAGGUCUUCGGAUCGUAAAACUCUGUUAUUAGGGAAGAACAUAUGUGUAAGUAACUGUGCACAUCUUGACGGUACCUAAUCAGAAAGCCACGGCUAACUACGUG